rfam:TNVERIFIED: Penicillium marneffei strain ATCC 18224 mitochondrial sequence.
GCCAAGGUAGUUUAACGGUAGAACAAUAAUUUCAUGAAUUAAGAAUGAGAAUUCGAAUUUCUCUCUUGGCU